GUUGACCUCGGAUCANGUAGGGAUACCCGCUGAACUUAANCAUAUCAAUAAUCGGAG
rnacentral:rRNA from 1 species